AGUGAACGCUGGCGGCAGGCCUAACACAUGCAAGUCGAACGGCAGCACAGUAAGAGCUUGCUCUUACGGGUGGCGAGUGGCGGACGGUUGAGGAAUACAUCGGAAUCUACUUUUUCUUGGGUGAUAACGUAGGGACACUUACGCUAAUACCGCAUACGACCUACGGGUGAAAGCAGGGGAUCUUCGGACCUUGCGCGAUCGAAUGAGCCGAUGUCGGAUUAGCUAGUUGGCGGGGUAAAGGCCCACCAAGGCGACGAUCCGUAGCUGGUCUGAGAGGAUGAUCAGCCACACUGGAACUGAGACACGGUCCAGACUCCUACGGGAGGCAGCAGUGGGGAAUAUUGGACAAUGGGCGCAAGCCUGAUCCAGCCAUGCCGCGUGGGUGAAGAAGGCCUUCGGGUUGUAAAGCCCUUUUGUUGGGAAAGAAAAGCAGCAGGUUAAUACCCCGCUGUUCUGACGGUACCCAAAGAAUAAGCACCGGCUAACUUCGUG
rnacentral:rRNA from 1 species